GAGCGGUAACAGGUGUAGCAAUACAUGCUGACGAGCGGCGAACGGGUGAGUAAUGCUUCGGAAUCUGCCCAAUGGUGGGGAAUAACCAGCCGAAAGGUUGGCUAAUACCGCAUGAGCCCUACGGGGGAAAGCAGGGGAUCGCAAGACCUUGCGCCGAUGGAUGAGCCGAAGUCGGAUUAGCUAGUUGGUAGGGUAACGGCCUACCAAGGCGACGAUCCGUAGCUGGUCUGAGAGGACGACCAGCCACACUGGGACUGAGACACGGCCCAGACUCCUACGGGAGGCAGCAGUGGGGAAUAUUGGACAAUGGGGGAAACCCUGAUCCAGCGACGCCGCGUGUGUGAAGAAGGCCUGCGGGUUGUAAAGCACUUUUAGUGGGGAUGAAAAGCUCANGGGCUAACACCUCUGGGUCUUGACCUAACCCACAGAAAAAGCACCGGCUAACUCUGUG
rnacentral:rRNA from 1 species